CACAAGAAUUGCGUUUGGACAA
rnacentral:miRNA from 2 species